rnacentral:rRNA from 1 species
UACGUAGGGUCCGAGCGUUUGUCCGGAAUUAUUGGGCGUAAAGGGCUCGUAGGCGGUUUGUCGCGUCGGGAGUGAAAACUCAGGGCUUAACCCUGAGCGUGCUUCCGAUACGGGCAGACUAGAGGUAUGCAGGGGAGAACGGAAUUCCUGGUGUAGCGGUGGAAUGCGCAGAUAUCAGGAGGAACACCGGUGGCGAAGGCGGUUCUCUGGGCAUUACCUGACGCUGAGGCGCGAAAGCGUGGGGAGCAAACGGG